rnacentral:lncRNA from 10 species
CAGUGGAGAGUUUCAUUAGGAUCACCUGGGCCCGGCAGCCGGGGACCUGCUGGGGUUUCCUGUGAAGCGCAGAUCUAUAAACCUACAGGAUUGACACAGCUCUUCCUGAAGCAUCAAUUUAUUUGAUGAGUAAUUUCAAAAUGUUACUUUUGAAAAGAUAAUGCUAUUUUUGUACUAAAAUGGAACACAAGAAUUUGACUGCAAAAUUCACCUGUUCAAAAUAAAUGAGACAUGUAAUUUCUUACAAACCCCAAAACUCGGGGGGUCCUAGGGUGGGGGUAGUUUUCUGCAGGGCGAUGACAUAUCCUGCAGCGAAGUCUCAGAAACCCUGCUCUGGGCAGUCCAUCUAUUUGUCCACUCAUGUUCUUAGACACAUCCCAGGGGCUGGCCCUGAGCUACUGGGAUGACUGGAGGAGCAUCCAGGGCUGGGGGAGGGGAGUGACUCCCACACAGCAGGUACCCGGAGGUAGGAGGCUGGAUCCACGGAAGGUUCUGAUGUCAGCACUGUCUGUACCACAAGAUGGCUUUACUGAAAUGCCGAGUGCAGGAGCUUAAUCAUGGCGCAUGUGGAAACCAGCCAUGGGCUCUCAGGCCCACUCCUGCCCUGCCCUGGCCCCUCUGUGAUGGGAGAACCAGGACAAGAAGGGGCUGGAUCAGGUGACUGGUCACACAACCUGGGGUCCUUUCACCUUUCUGGGGGUCCCUGAAGGUAGGAAUGGAGUCUGUGAACUGGUGUCAGUAUUUCUCAAAGCCAGCUGUCAGACACUGUGUCUGUCCCUGACGCGGCCGCCCAGGCUCGUGGAAUGCCAAGCGCCUGUCUCUGCUCGGGGCUGACAUCACCUCCGCGUGGGAACAGAGCCUGUGCUCAUGCCGAGCUCAUCGGGAUUGGCAGAAAUCUGCAUCCUUGUUUGGUUUCAAAACAGGGGGCCCAGAAGGAAGACUCAUGAAAGAUGCCCUUGUCGGCGGAAAUUUCAGGAGCUUGGCCCACAGCCCCUGUCUGCACUUCGGCUGUGAAGAGGCCAGAACCACGCCCGCUGCCCAAGAGCUAGGGUGCCCAUAGGCGUGUGGUGGAUGGGUGGACAUCUCGGCUAACGCUCCCGUCACCUGUACCUGUCUCCCCAUCAGUAGGGCAGGGGCAGCUCUCACUUCUCACGGCUAUGGCCACUCGAUGUGUUCAGCAAUCUAAGUGGGUCGUCGCCUCAUUUUGUACAUGAAAAACCAGCCCAAGUUACUGCCCAAGGUCACACGGCCAUUCCCUCUGUCCCUUCCUCCCUGACUCAUGCCAUGCUUGUGUGAGGGGCUGCUGCGUGCCUGGCUGGGACCUAGUGGAAUAAGAGAGAAAGCCCUUGCUCCCGUGGAGCAGGCGAGAGGCGACACGGAUACAGGCUGAGAGUGAGUGACCCAUGGAGGAAACAACAGGGAGACGGGCAGGGGGCGGUGGGGUGGGGGCCAGGGAAGGGCUCUUUCCAGAGGGGGCAUCUGUGCUAAGACCUGAGGGACAAGAAGGAACUAGCCCCGCAAACAACACAAUCGGGUGCUUUUCCCUUUGAUGUCUGAGCAGCCUGGAGUCGCUCCAGACAGGCCCGGCUGCCCCCACU